rnacentral:rRNA from 1 species
GACGAACGCUGGCGGCGUGCUUAACACAUGCAAGUCGAACGGAAAGGCCCUGCUUUUGUGGGGUGCUCGAGUGGCGAACGGGUGAGUAACACGUGAGGAACCUGCCCUUGACUUUGGGAUAACUUCAGGAAACUGGGGCUAAUACCGGAUAGGAGCUCCUGCUGCAUGGUGGGGGUUGGAAAGUUUCGGCGGUUGGGGAUGGACUCGCGGCUUAUCAGCUUGUUGGUGGGGUAGUGGCUUACCAAGGCUUUGACGGGUAGCCGGCCUGAGAGGGUGACCGGCCACAUUGGGACUGAGAUACGGCCCAGACUCCUACGGGAGGCAGCAGUGGGGAAUAUUGCACAAUGGGCGGAAGCCUGAUGCAGCAACGCCGCGUGCGGGAUGACGGCCUUCGGGUUGUAAACCGCUUUCGCCUGUGACGAGGCGUGAGUGACGGUAAUGGGUAAAGAAGCACCGGCUAACUACGUG